UACGGGGGGAGCAAGCGUUGUUCGGAUUUACUGGGCGUAAAGGGCGCGUAGGCGGCGUGACAAGUCACUUGUGAAAUCUCCGGGCUUAACUCGGAACGGUCAAGUGAUACUGUCGUGCUAGAGUACAGAAGGGGCAACUGGAAUUCUCGGUGUAGCGGUGAAAUGCGUAGAGAUUGGGAAGAACACCGGUGGCGAAAGCGCUCUGCUGGCCGAGUACUGACGCUGAGGAGCGAAAGCGAUGG
rnacentral:rRNA from 1 species